rnacentral:rRNA from 1 species
UAGGGAAUUUUUCACAAUGAGCGAAAGCUUGAUGGAGCAAUGCCGCGUGAACGAUGAAGGUCUUUAAGAUUGUAAAGUUCUUUUAUUUGGGAAGAAUGACUUUAGCAGGUAAUGGCUAGAGUUUGACUGUACCAUUUUGAAUAAGUGACGACUAACUAUGUGCCAGCAGUCGCGGUAAUACAUAGGUCGCAAGCGUUAUCCGGAUUUAUUGGGCGUAAAGCAAGCGCAGGCGGAUUGAAAAGUCUGGUGUUAAAGGCAGCUGCUUAACAGUUGUAUGCAUUGGAAACUAUUAAUCUAGAGUGUGGUAGGGAGUUUUGGAAUUUCAUGUGGAGCGGUGAAAUGCGUAGAUAUAUGAAGGAACACCAGUGGCGAAGGCGAAAACUUAGGCCAUUACUGACGCUUAGGCUUGAAAGUGUGGGGAGCAAAUAGGAUUAGAUACCCUAGUAGUCCACACCGUAAACGAUAGAUGCUAGCUGUCGGGGCGAUCCCCUCGGUAGUGAAGUUAACACAUUAAGUAUCUCGCCUGGGUAGUACAUUCGCAAGAAUG